UGUUAAUUUGACUUAUAGUACAAUCCAAAAUAUGUUUACUCAGAAGUACAUCCCACUGGGAUCAAUGGGACUUACUCCCAGGUAAGUGAAUAUUGAAUUGCAGUCUGAACUUCAUUACACUUAACUCAUGUUUGACACAUAAAUCAAUAGUACUUCUUCUCCCUUUCUAGUGUACAGUCACAUUGCUUACAAAGCUUGUCUUGCUUAUUUUUUUCAGUACUAUGGAGUGAAAUGUAUCCUAUUACCAGGACAUCUUGCUUUAUUCUAAGAAAGCACUGGAGAAGGUUGCAGGAUGUCCCUAUAACCUGAGAAACAUUCUUCAGCAUCCCUGACCAAAGGAGAACAUCUGUAGAUAUUAGAUCCAAUUAGGAAAAGACAUCUAUAACCCAGGAACAAAAAUUGUGUUACAUACUGUUAUUGAAUGAUUGUUCAAUGGGACUAUAGA
rnacentral:lncRNA from 1 species